rnacentral:lncRNA from 1 species
UCCCGAGUAGCUGGGGUUACAGGUGCAUGCCACCACGCCUGGAUAAUUUUUUGUAUUUCUAGUAGAGAUGGGGUUUCACCAUGUUGGUCAGUCUGGUCUUGAACUCCUGACCUCAAGUGAUCCACCCACCUCGGCCCCCCAAAGUACUGGGAUUACAGGUGUGAGCCACCGCGCCUGGCCAAGGGUCUUCUUUUUAAGGGUGAAUAAUGUUUUGUUGUGUGUGCGUGUGUGUGUGUGCGUAUGCCACAUUUUCUUUUUCCAUUCAUCUGUUGAUGGAGACUUAGAUUGUUUCCGUAUCUUGGCGAUUGGGAGUAAUGCCGCAGUGAAUAUUGGAGUGCAGAUGUCUUUAUGAGGUGUGAUUUGAUCUCCAUUGAGUAUGUGUCCAGAAGAGGGAUAGCUGGGUCUAUGUAAUGUAUACUGAUAAGCAGCACAGAGUGGGCACAUAGGAUAGCAUAGAUGCCAUUUUUCUCACAGAUAGUUUGCCGACCUCUUCCUAGAGUUACGUUUUUCUUGUUCCUGAGACAAUAAUGUGGCUGUAAGUACUAAUAGAGACAGUGGCAUUUGUGGGUUGCUUAUGAUCUGCCAGCCCCUGCGUUAAGUGUUCUCUGUGUCUGUUUCAGAUGGGUCUGCUGUGUGCAGAGGCUCCAUGGGAUGUGUUGUCUUCAUAGUAGCAGGGCGCUGGACCAUGGGUCCGCAAGGUGGGAUUUUUGGACUGUUGUCUGGAAUAUGUUUCUUUGCAUCCUGCAGAGUCAUGUGCUGUUCCUGGGGCUUGGAUGAUGUAGGGGAAGCAAGGUGAAAGUGGUAUCCCGUGGUUCCACGUUCUGUCCUGCUGUGGGGCUGUCCCUCACAUGCUUUCAGUGGCUGUUGCAGAGGAAGAGCCUCCGGAAAUCUGCGUGGGUCUCAGCCUUAGAUCCAAGGACAGUCCAAGGAAGUCCUAAGACCAUGGAGUUGGUGAUCUGGGAUCUGGGUUUGCUGAUAUUUCUCACCGUGAAUCUCUUGGUGGUGUUUGUGGGCACGAGAGGGGCAGAGAAUGGAGAGUGAGGCUACCACAUGAAGCGUCACCAGAGCUGCUCCCUGCUGCCUGCUCAGAGCACCCCGGAUCCACUGUUCAAUCUGCACAAGAUUCGGGGUCCAGACAUGGGAGACUUCAGCUGCCUCAGAGGACCGUGGACAGGGAAGGCCAGCCUCGCAUCCCUCUGUCCAUGCCUGGAAUGACUUUAAUAACCAAGAGUUUUAUUUUUGAAUUUGUAGCUGUCGUUCACUUUUUACCCACCCAUUCAAUAAACCUUACAGAAUUGCUCCAUGUGCUUCUUAAA